rnacentral:rRNA from 1 species
UGGGGAAUCUUGGACAAUGGGCGCAAGCCUGAUCCAGCCAUGCCGCGUGAGUGAAGAAGGUCUUCGGAUUGUAAAGCUCUUUUGCCAGGGACGAUAAUGACGGUACCUGGAGAAUAAGCCCCGGCAAACUUCGUGCCAGCAGCCGCGGUAAUACGAAGGGGGCUAGCGUUGUUCGGAAUUACUGGGCGUAAAGCGCACGUAGGCGGGUCGUUAAGUCAGGGGUGAAAUCCCGGAGCUCAACUCCGGAACUGCCUUUGAUACUGGCGAUCUUGAGAUCGGAAGAGGUGAGUGGAAUUCCCAGUGUAGAGGUGAAAUUCGUAGAUAUUGGGAAGAACACCAGUGGCGAAGGCGGCUCACUGGUCCGAUACUGACGCUGAGGUGCGAAAGCGUGGGGAGCAAA